GAUAUACGACUGUCUCAAGAUUAGCCAUGCAUGUCUUAGUACAGACUAUCUCACAGUGAAACUGCGAAUGGCUCAUUAAAUCAGCUAAGGUUCCUUAGAUCGUACAAUCCUACUUGGAUAACUGUAGUAAUUCUAGAGCUAAUACAUGCAACAAGCUCCGACCUUCCCUGGGAAGAGCGCUUUUAUUAGAUCAAAACCAAUCGGUUCCUUCGGGUUCCGUCCAAUUGGUGACUCUGGAUAACUUUGUGCUGAUCGCAUGGCCACGAGCCGGCGACGUAUCUUUCAAAUGUCUGCCCUAUCAACUUUCGAUGGUACCUGAUAUGGCUACCAUGGUUGUAACGGGUAACGGGGAAUCAGGGUUCGAUUCCGGAGAGGGAGCAUGAGAAACGGCUACCACAUCCAAGGAAGGCAGCGGGCGCGCAAAUUACCCACUCCUGACACGGGGAGGUAGUGACGAAAAAUAACAAUACGGGACUCUUUCGAGGCCCCGUAAUUGGAAUGAGUACACUUUAAAUCCUUUAACGAGGAUCUAUUGGAGGGCAAGUCUGGUGCCAGCAGCCGCGGUAAUUCCAGCUCCAAUAGCGUAUAUUAAAGUUGUUGCAGUUAAAAAGCUCGUAGUUGGAUCUCGGGUCCAGGCUUGUGGUGCAGCUUAGGCUGCUUACUGCUCGUCCUGACCUACCUACCGGUUUUCCCUUGGUGCUCUUAAGUGAGUGUCUUGCGUGGCCGGAACGUUUACUUUGAAAAAAUUAGAGUGCUCAAAGCAGGCUUACGCCUGAAUAUUAGUGCAUGGAAUAAUUGAAUAGGACCUCGGUUCUAUUUUGUUGGUUUUCGGAACUCGAGGUAAUGAUUAAGAGGGACAGACGGGGGCAUUCGUAUUACGGUGUUAGAGGUGAAAUUCUUGGAUCGCCGUAAGACGAACUACUGCGAAAGCAUUUGCCAAGAAUGUUUUCAUUAGUCAAGAACGAAAGUCAGAGGUUCGAAGACGAUCAGAUACCGUCGUAGUUCUGACCAUAACGAUGCCAACUAGCGAUCCGCCGGAGUUGUUCAUGACUCGCGGCAGCUUCUGGAACAAGUCUUUGGGUUCCUGGGGAGUAUGCCUGCCAAGCUGAAUCCUAAUGACUGGACGAGGGCACCACAGAUGAAGCUUGCGCUAACUUGACUCACACGGAAACUCACUGGACCGCACUGUACGAUGACGAUUGCAGCUCUUCCUA
rnacentral:rRNA from 1 species